UACGAAGGGGGCUAGCGUUGCUCGGAAUUACUGGGCGUAAAGGGCGCGUAGGCGGCGGUGUUAGUCAGGCGUGAAAGCCCUGGGCUUAACUUGGGAAUUGCGCUCGAAACUACGUGGCUGGAGUGUGGCAGAGGAAGGUGGAAUUCCACGUGUAGCGGUGAAAUGCGCAGAUAUCAGGAAGAACACCUAUGGCGAAGGCAGCUCUCUGGGACGGUACUGACGCUGAGACGCGAAAGCGUGGGGAGCGAACAGG
rnacentral:rRNA from 1 species